AUUGAACGCUGGCGGCAUGCCUAACACAUGCACGUCGAGCGCAGCGGCGGACGGGUGAGUAAUACCUAGUAAUCUGCCUGUUAGUGGGGGAUACCGUUCGGAAACGUACCCUAAUACCGCAUACUAUCAGAUGAGCCUAGGUCGGAUUAGCUAGUUGGUGAGGUAAUGGCUCACCAAGGCUACGAUCCGUAACUGGUCUGAGAGGAUGAUCAGUCAAACGGGAACGGAGACACGGUCCAGACUCCUACGGGAGGCAGCAGUGGGGAAUAUUGGACAAUGGGCGAAAGCCGGAUCCAGCCAUGCCGCGUGUGUGAAGAAGGUCUUCGGAUUGUAAAGCACUUUAAGUUGGGAGGCGUUACCGACAGAAUAAGCACCGGCUAACUCUGUGCCAGCCGCCGCGGUAAUAC
rnacentral:rRNA from 1 species